rnacentral:lncRNA from 1 species
ACAAUCAAAAGGAGAUGUUAAAUCCGAAUUGCAGAAUCAUUAACUUCAUUCACUGCCUGAAAGAGAAAUGCAGCCUGGAACCAGAAGGUAUGUUUCAAGUACAGUAACUGCUUUUUGGCUUAAAUAUAUUAUGUAUUGGUUUAUAAAUGUAAACAUCUAGUAGAUAAGAAUUACCCAAUGAGCACCACUGGUAAUAUUGGAUGUGACUGAUUUGAUCUCUAAACUGAUCAGGUUCAUCACACAUUCUAAAAAUCACAGUCAGAAUUAUUUUCAUUGACUACUGGAGGUGAUGUUUACCGUAUGUAACUUCCAGAGUUGGAAAUUUCGGACACCUAUUGCUGCUCAUAUCAAACAAACAAUUGUGGUAAAGGGGAUGAUUUAUUUGAUCAAUUUUAAAUUUAUUCCAUGGAUGGAACUCUGUGCUGAUCUGUGUUUGUGUAGCUCUUCGCCACCUCUCCAUUAGCCCAGGCGCUUGCCAGCUCCACACACACCUUGUCCUAUCUGCUCCUCUUCCUCAUGUGGAAUUCACUCUCUCCAGGCGUCAAUUAUUCAAUCAGUCCUGGGGUGUCUCAUUUAAACCGGCUUCUUCCUUCUUCAUCGGUGGUGCUCUCUCAAAGCCACCUCUUCCUCCCUCACAUGCCCUUAGCUGUGUGAGCACACAAAAAGAGAAUAGCAGUUCUACAAAUACCAUUUAUACCUACAGUUACUGAACAUUGCAAUGUGUGUGAGCCCCUCUGUUUCCCCAGAGUGUGUCGACCUCAUAGAUGAAGCAGGUGAGCUGAUGUGUUUCAGCGAGAGGGAGAGCUCCCCGGAAUUUGCCAGCAGUUUCCUGAAGGAGAGGCACAACUACAUCCUAAUUAAAGUCACGAGAGCAGAAGGCAGUGAAGGAAAUAAGUAUGAGCCUCUUUUGCAGAACACUGGGAAGAGUUACCCUGAUCUAGCAGAUCUUCUGAAGAAGCUGUCAAAUCCUCUCAAAGACAGGGAUAAGAGGAGCUCACUCUCGAAGAAAGCACGUCUGCUCAAAGAGACUCCAGCUACCCCACAGACAAAGAGCAAACCCACCCCCAGUCUGAGAAAGAACUCCAGUAUCACUUACCGGAAUUGACCAGGCCUCUCCUUGACACCAACCCAACUGCAGAAUUCAGCCACGCAGAGGGAACAUUGGAACCUUAGAAUAAAGGAGUGAAAAAGGGUAGGCAGAAGCUAGACUGUUUCAAAAUAAUAAAUAAACCACAUUAUCUUAUCCAGAAAGUCUUAAAGGCCUAUUGCAACAGUUAUUGUUAAACGUAGGGUAGAGUAACUUCCUCAAUUUCAUUAGAGACACCAUUUAAAGGGGCAUUGUCCAAGUGUGUUAGUUUUUAAUACCCAGUGUACACAGUAAUUACAUACAGUUGAUGUUUUUUUCUUAAAUGUGCUUUUGAGAGGCAAUAUAAAUUAAACAGUGGCCACUCAUCAUUCAACUUCUAGGUGCUAGGUGUUUUUUUUAUAGUAAUGCUAGCUUUCAAAGUGACCAGGGCCCUGUGUACGUUAUACAGAAGCAAUAACCGGGCAUUGUACUCUUAUGAAUAACCGAACACUGGCUGACUCUCUGAUUUCAUCAGUAUGCAUUGUCCUUCAUAUACAAAUGGCCUCGUGACCCUUUUCAGUCCUUAAAAAACAAUGCAUGAAGUGGAGAGUUAUUGGUCACGCUUGUUAGAAUUUCCUGGACAGAAACUACAUCAUAAACUUUCCGCAUGUGCUUUCAGCCUCACCCACUCCACCCACCUGCCAUUAUUUGCUAACAAGACCUUUUUAUAACAUGUUAACUAGUUUCCAUUGUUUUCAUAUGAAAUAAAAAAAACCUUAUAAAAUCUGUGUUUCCUGAUGGUUAAUGUCAUAUUUUUAAUGUGUCUUGUGCGAUUACCAAUCCUCUGCUCUGGGUGCCUAGUCUGUUCUGUGUCACUCCAGUGAACUCUUCCUGUGAAACAAGCUUCUGAAAAGAUUUUUGAAAUGUUGAAAACAGGAUCACCAAAUGGGGAAUACAUCGGUGUCAUGCCUUUCUUUUUCAACGGCAGUAAAACCUCAUU